CCUACGGGUGGCAGCAGUAGGGAAUUUUGCGCAAUGGGCGAGAUCCUGACGCAGCAACGCCGCGUGAUCGAGACGCCCUUCGGGGUGUAAAGAUCUGUCAGUGGGGACGAAACUUGACGGUACCCACAGAGGAAUCACCGGCUAACUCCGUGCCAGCAGCCGCGGUACUACGGGGGGUGCAAGCGUUGUCCGGAAUCAUUGGGCGUAAAGAGUUCGUAGGCGGCACGUAAAGUCUGGUGGUAAAGGCAGAGGCUCAACUUCUGUACGGCAGUGGAUACUUGCGAGCUAGAAUGCGGUAGAGGUAAAGGGAAUGCCUGGUGUAGCGGUGAAAUGCAUAGAUAUCAGGAGGAACACCGGUUGCGUAAGCGCCUUACUGGGCCGUAAUUGACGCUGAGGAACGAAAGCCAGGGUAGCAAAUGGGAUUAGAUACCCUGGUAGUC
rnacentral:rRNA from 1 species